GAUGAACGCUGGCGGCGUGCCUAAUACAUGCAGGUCGAGCGAACGGACGAGAAGCUUGCUUCUCUGAUGUUAGCGGCGGACGGGUGAGUAACACGUGGAUAACCUACCUAUAAGACUGGGAUAACUUCGGGAAACCGGAGCUAAUACCGGAUGAUAUUUUGAACCGCAUGGUUCAAAAGUGAAAGACGGUCUUGCUGUCACUUAUAGAUGGAUCCGCGCUGCAUUAGCUAGUUGGUAAGGUAACGGCUUACCAAGGCAACGAUGCAUAGCCGACCUGAGAGGGUGAUCGGCCACACGGGAACUGAGACACGGUCCAGACUCCUACGGGAGGCAGCAGUAGGGAAUCUUCCGCAAUGGGCGAAAGCCUGACGGAGCAACGCCGCGUGAGUGAUGAAGGUCUUCGGAUCGUAAAACUCUGUUAUUAGGGAAGAACAUAUGUGUAAGUAACUGUGCACAUCUUGACGGUACCUAAUCAGAAAGCCACGGCUAACUACGUG
rnacentral:rRNA from 1 species